CCUACGGGAGGCAGCAGUCGAGAAUUAUUCACAAUGGGGGAAACCCUGAUGGUGCGACGCCGCGUGGGGGAAUGAAGGUCUUCGGAUUGUAAACCCCUGUCAUGUGGGAGCAAAUUAAAAAGAUAGUACCACAAGAGGAAGAGACGGCUAACUCUGUGCCAGCAGCCGCGGUAAUACAGAGGUCUCAAGCGUUGUUCGGAAUCACUGGGCGUAAAGCGUGCGUAGGCUGUUUCGUAAGUCGUGUGUGAAAGGCGCGGGCUCAACCCGCGGACGGCACAUGUUACUGCGAGACUAGAGUAAGGGAGGGGGAACCGGAAUUCUCGGUGUAGCAGUGAAAUGCGUAGAUAUCGAGAGGAACACUCGUGGCGAAGGCGGGUUCCUGGACAUUAACUGACGCUGAGGCACGAAGGCCAGGGGAGCGAAAGGGAUUAGAUACCCCAGUAGUC
rnacentral:rRNA from 1 species